GGAGUCGGGCGGGAGCCGCGCGAAGGCCUCGGGUGUGGCCCGGCAGUUAGGUGUUUUCCCUGCAUGUGUAUGCCUGAUGCCAGAAGAGGAGGGUACAGAGGCCCUGCAACUGGGGUUACAGAGUGGCGUUCAAAAGGGAGUGGACACCAUAGGCUGACAGAACACUGAGCGUGGCCCCAGCAAAAACUGAUAAAAAAAAAAAACAACAGACAAAAGAUAGACAUAAAGGCUUUCCAUGGAAGCAACUGCAAUUGGCGUCUAGUCAUAAAGAAAUCGUCCAGUUUCAUCCAAAACGAGAGAAAUGCAAAAACUCAUCUGCCUGAGGAGAGAUUUGCACUGAGUCCUCAUGGAUACUAUCAGAGGGCACAGGUCCACACCUAGCCUCUCUGUCAGUCCACCACUUCUCCAGAGUCAGGGAUAUGUCCCUCUGCAGAUGGGAACACAGAAUUGCCUGCAGUUUGGGGCUCUGUCAUCUUUCUCAAAGCCUCUACUGGUGUUGUGAAGGCAAACACUGGCAUCUCAGGGAAACACAAAUUUUGUCUCAGGAAUAAUUUAACAUAAAUUACAACGUAUGAAACAUGGCAAGCUAACAUAGCUAUUAACAAGGUAAAAUUUCAAAGACUAUGAAGAAAAAAGAAUAAAUAAAGAGCCCUGAAUUUGUGUAGCAAGUGUAUCUGUACUCAAUCAUACAGGAGGGACCACAGUUGAUCUUAGAGAGUCAUGGACUCCUCAAGGACCAGGCCCUAGACAGUUCUUGUGCCAAAAGAAUGUUCUCAUUGCUUGAGACUUGGCAGUAUCUCUGGGACUGAGUGCUACCUGACAGAGUGCUUCAUGGUUUGCAUUCAAGCACAGUUAUCAACCCGAAAGACACAAGAAAUUCAACUGCUGUUUUUUCCUGAACUCAAAGCUACUUCAUCACUUCUGAAUGGCACAGUGAGCAGAUUUCACCCUGAGCAGGCAGUGUUUCCUCCCUGCAGAGAUUGCGGUGGAACCCUGAACGACUCUGGUGGCACUUUGGGUAACAAGUCAGGAGAUGAGCCUGAAGAUUGCCACUGAGAAAACAGCUGGUUUAAAGUAAUGUAACUGGUCGGGCAGAAAUGAAGAUCUUCUAAAGAGACAUUUGUGACUCUCUAUGUGACGAUCAGACUAGUAAAACAAUGAACCCUAAACAAACGGGAUGUUCCCAAAGAAUCUAAUGCUGGGAGAAAGAAAAGGCCCCAGCCAAGGGAGAAAUUGAACUCCUGGAUAGAGGUUUCAAGUAGUUCAAACAACGCAUCCUCUGACUACCUUACAGGAUAAGACUGGAGCCCAGACAGUGACGGGUGGAUGGCAGGCAGGACCACCCGUUGCCCAGGACUGUUGAGAUGUGCACAUCCUUGGCUCACUAUUUAAACUUUGAUCUCACUUCAGUACCCAAAACUGGGCUUAGGGCAGUUGCUGGAUCUCCCUGGCUCUUCUUCCAACGUGACCAAUGAAUAAAUCUCUCUUUUGUGUUU
rnacentral:lncRNA from 1 species